AGAGGGUGCAAACGUUGCUCGGAAUCACUGGGCGUAAAGGGCGUGUAGGCGGGAAGAUAAGUCGGGCGUGAAAUCCCAGGGCUCAACCCAGGAACUGCACUCGAAACUGUUUUUCUUGAGUGUCGGAGAGGAAAGCGGAAUUCCUGGUGUAGAGGUGAAAUUCGUAGAUAUCAGGAGGAACACCAGCGGCGAAGGCGGCUUUCUGGACGAUAACUGACGCUGAGACGCGAAAGCGUGGGGAGCAAACAGGAUUAGAUACCCUGGUAGUCCACGCUGUAAACGAUGAGUGCUAGGUGUCGUGGGUAUUGACCCCCGCGGUGCCGAAGCUAACGCAUUAAGCACUCCGCCUGGGAAGUACGGUCGCAAGACUA
rnacentral:rRNA from 1 species